rnacentral:rRNA from 1 species
CUCAAAUGAAGUUGACGGGGCCCGGCACAAGCGGAGGAGCAUGUGGUUUAAUUCGAUGAUACGCGAGGAACCUUACCUGGGCUCGAACGUAAGAUGACUGUAGGUGAAAGCUUACAUCUCUUCGGAGCAUUUUACGAGGUGCUGCAUGGUUGUCGUCAGCUCGUGCCGUGAGGUGUCGGGUUAAGUCCCAUAACGAGCGCAACCCCUACCUUUAGUUGCCAUCAGGUUAAGCUGGGGACUCUAAAGGAACUGCCUACGCAAGUAGUGAGGAAGGCGGGGAUGACGUCAAAUCAGCACGGCCCUUACGUCCAGGGCUACACACGUGCUACAAUGGCCGAUACAGAGGGCAGCUACCUGGUGACAGGAUGCAAAUCUCCAAAGUCGGUCUCAGUUCGGAUCGGAGUCUGCAACCCGACUCCGUGAAGUUGGAUUCGCUAGUAAUCGCGCAUCAGCCAUGGCGCGGUGAAUACGUUCCCGGGCCUU